GGGCAAUAUGCUGACUCUGUAAACCACUUAGCGAGUGCUGUAAAGAACGAUGAAGAGGUAUAUAAGUCUAAAUGCUAUUGCUUUGCUAUCUUGGAGCAAGUUAAUUUAAAAAUCUAGCCGUGAACACAUGACAUAGUCCAAGAUACUAAUUAAGGUACUCAAUCAUGUAGCAGUUUGAUAGCCAGGGUCCUGUAUUCUUGCUUCCUGUGUUACACAGAAAUAUUUAAAAGGUACAGAAAUUUCAUUAAAAUAAAACCAAAAAAUGCACAAACCACAGCAACAUUAAAUUAAUAUUAAUAAAAGUGAUUUUUUAAAAAAAAAUUCACAUAAGAAAUGGAUCUAAAAGGAAUUUGAAGAUCAUUUUUCAAUCCAAAUGAUCCCAGUUUGGAAACUGAAAAGGGAGUUUUAAGGUAAUUCCUUACUUCCCAAGUUUUUAAACACAUUAGCUAGAUCUAAAAUUAAGUUAGUCACAUAUUAACCCAAUAUCUCAUCUCAAACAUUCUCCAUCCAGGAUUCUCAAUCAGCAUGGCAAAUGGCUGUAAGGGUGGCUGGAAACUUCAAUCUUGCCAAUCAGAAGAAUGCCAGCAUAUGGAAGAUGAUUUAAAUAAGUCUAAUGACCCAUUGAUUUCAAUACAGAGAUGUGAUUAAUAAUAUAAUCUCAUAAGUGUUUACUAUAAAACCCUGAAUGUGAUUUACUCCAAGGUAACGUGAGCACACUAGAUGUAACUCUGUGAAAUGAAUAAACAUGGACACAGGCUGUAGUAAUUCCAUCUAUUCCAAGUUCACCCAUACCAGCCUUUUUCUCACACGUUGACCAUUUGAAGAUGUGUAAACUUCAACUUCCUGAAUUCCCCAAACAGCUUCUUGACUUCUGCGGGUUGAAGUCUUAAAAUGGUUAACAUUGAGAAACGCUGAUGCCUGUAAGUAUGGUUCUAGUUUAAAAAAAUAAUUUUGGGGCGCCUAAUGCCUACGGGGUGGGCAAAAUCAUAUAAUACUAUUUUUCAAAGGAUAUUUACUGAAGUAUUAUCAGCACCACACUGGUUUGCAAGUCUAGUUUCUUAACUGGAUUGUGGAAAAUACAUUCAUCUGAUUUCAGACACCUCUUCAACCAUCUUUUAUUAAGAUGAAGGCUUGCUUAUUUCUCUGCCAUAAAAUUAUGUGCAACACACUUCCCUUUUAUUUGUCUGUGAUAUGGAGACAAGCAUGCUGGCUUGCAAAUUUAUUUUUAAUAUACGCUUUAGCUGGGCACAGACAAACCCUUUUUAGCAACUGAAUGGAUCAGUAUUAAUUUUUUU